rnacentral:antisense_RNA from 1 species
GAAAUUGUCAUCCUCGGCGGCCAGCAGUGCCUGGAUGAAAUCCGGCGGGAUGUCGGCGAAACGCACCGGGGAGCGGCGCAUUUCGCCGAACUCCGCGAUCAGCUUGCCGUCGCUGCUGUAGACCCUCAGGGGGAUCUGCAGCUGGAUCCGGCGCAGUGAGUCGACGGACGGAAGGGUGGGGCUAAGAUAGAGGUACGCACCGCUGAAACUGAGCAGCAGGCCACAGAAAACAGCAACGAAGGACCACCAGAAAAACUUCAGCAGACGUAUCAAGGCUUGUGGAUUUCCAGGCAA